GACGAACGCUGGCGGCGUGCUUAACACAUGCAAGUCGAACGGAAAGGCACUGCUUUUGUGCGGUGCUCGAGUGGCGAACGGGUGAGUAACACGUGAGUAACCUGCCCUUGACUUUGGGAUAACUUCAGGAAACUGGGGCUAAUAUCGGAUAGGAGCUCCUGCUGCAUGGUGGGGGUUGGAAAGUUUUGGCGGUUGGGGAUGGACUCGCGGCUUAUCAGCUUGUUGGUGGGGUAGUGGCUUACCAAGGCUUUGACGGGUAGCCGGCCUGAGAGGGUGACCGGCCACACUGGGACUGAGAGACGGCCCAGACGCCUACGGGAGGCAGCAGUGGGGAAUAUUGCACAAUGGGCGGAAGCCUGAUGAAGCAACGCCGCGUGCGGGAUGACGGCCUUCGGGUUGUAAACCGCUUGCGCCUGUGACGAAGCGUGAGUGACGGUAAUGGGUAAAGAAGCACCGGCUAACUACGGG
rnacentral:rRNA from 1 species